GGGGGGUGGGGUGGGGGGUUGCUUUUAAGGAAUUAACUACAUAAAUUCAUGGACAGUGGAGUGGGUUUGUAGUGUGCUUGCUCUCCAAAAACUGUACCAGUUUGCGGUUAUAAUCCACUCAUAGGAUUCUUCUCUGAGGUUUGGUUUUAAUUGAAUCCUACUCAGUGUUUGUCUGGUGUCUGACGGUCCUGUAUGCAUUUGUUUAAUUUACUUUGCUUGGGUUACAGUCUGGUUAAACCCGUGUUUUCAUUCUGAGGGCUGCCAGGUGAAAGAAACAUGCAGGUCUCUGGGGACGGGGGUAGUGGAUUUGCUUGUGGAGGGUGGUCUAUUACCUCUGAAAGCUUUUCAGGUACAGCCCGACCGGCUGUCAGCAGGACCACAAACCAAACACCGCUGGUCUCCGAGUUGUCUCUCAGCCUGCCCACUUUUGGAAACUCCAGCCUGUAAAAGCCGGUGCCCCCUUUCUAUCAAUUUUUAAUCUGCAACAAUACUUACGUUUAUAAGAUUAAUUUCUCUCAGAUUAGCCUGAUUGAUAGCUGGAUUGUGGUUACUUAAGAGCCUGCUCCCUGGAACCCACAGCCCAGAUGCAUUCCAUUUAACUAGUGAAUGUAAAACUGGGUAACCAUGGAGUCAGCCACCACCAACUGGCUGUGCAGUGGCUUGUUGUAAACAAUACAAAUGAGCCGGGAGAGCAGGGGCAACCAGACAUGAAAUGAUUUUAAUAGAAAUUACGGUAAAAGGUCAUGUGACUUGGGAUCCGCUUCUGUUCGGAUUUAAAGGGAAAGUCUGUCUUUUCUUUCCCCCCACCCCCCUCCUUGCCUCAUUCUAACCCACUAGGGUUAGUAUCUCUUUGAACUUGACAGGCCCUCCUCUGGGCUUCCACGGAGAAAGGUGGCCUGUGCGCUGUGGGCAAAGCAUGGGGACUUGUGGAAUUUCAGUGAUUUAUUGACAUCUCUACCAGAAACCUGCGAGGAAAAGAAAUACAACCCAAACCAGGUGAUGUUUUCAUUUCUAAGCCAUAAAAGUGUUUGAUGUUAAGAAACACUUGAAGCUACACACCAAAGGGAGGGAUUUGUCUUUACCCAGUUUUUGCUGAUUUAAACCGGUCUUGUUCCUGUUUGGGAUGCCGGCUACAAAAGCCUUCCAGAGAGGGCUUCCAUUCUGAAGCCAGCUUUUGGCUCCGGCUCCCUAGAACUGAAACCACUAAGUGUUGCCCUACCAUAUUAUUGCCCUAGUGUAAGGAGCACAUGGUUCUGUGUGUCCUUUCUGGCAUCGUUUGGGCAUGGUUUUGGAGCAUCCGGUUCUGCUGUUUCCUGUGUGUGAAUGUACAGUGUGGGUAUGUAUGUCUUUGCACCUGUGUACAUGUAUGUAUGAACCCAGGCGCACAUGUGG
ensembl:lncRNA